GCCUGGGUGGUGGAAUUGGUAGACGCGCUGGACUCAAAAUCCAGUGGGGGCAACCCCGUGAGAGUUCGAUUCUCUCCCCAGGCACCA
rnacentral:tRNA from 1 species